UACUUCAUGCCGUAUGAAAGAUGAUGUGAU
rnacentral:piRNA from 1 species